GAAGCAGGAGAAUCCCUUGAACCAGGGAGGCGGAGGUUGCAGUGAGCCAAGAUGGCGCCACUGCGCUACAGCCUGGGCAACAGAGUGACAGAGUAAGACGCUGUCUCAAAACAAAUAAACAUUUAUUAAGCACUUAUCCCUGUGUUUGGCACCUGGAAUCUCAUGAAAAUUGUGUGAAUUACAGAUGAUCCCUAUUUUACAGGUGGAAAAAUGGAAGCUCAGAGAGGUUAAUCAACUCACCCAGGAAUACAGCAGGCACAUGGACGUGGCAAAGCCGAUUCAAACCCAGAUUACUGACUUUAAUGUUGGUCCUUGCACCUUACCACCACCUGUCUGGUCACCCUGGCCCUCUCUGCUGUCGAACUGCUGUGUGACCAUGGGCAAGACACUUCCCUCUGUGAUCCUGUCUGACCCCUAGUCUCCUCUUUAGGAGGAUGAGGAUUUUUUUUUUUUUUUUUUUUUUUUUUUUUUUUGAGACGGAGUCUUGCUCUGUAGCCCAGGCUGGGGUGCAGUGGCGUGAUCUCAGCUCACUGCAAGCUCCGCCUCCCGGGUUCAUGCCAUUCUCCUGCCUCAGCCUCCGAGUAGCUGGGACUACAGGUGCCUGCCACCACGCCCGGCUAUUUUUUUGUAUUUUUAGUAGAGACCGGGUUUUACCGUGUUAGCCAGGAUGGUCUCGAUCUCCUGACCUCGUGAUACAUCCACCUUGGCCUCCCAAAGUGCUGGGAUUACAAGUGUGAGCCACCGUGCCCGACUUUUUUUUUUUGUUUGUUUUUGAGACAGAGUCUCACUCUGUUGCCCAGGCUGGAGUUCAGGGACCUGAUCUCGGCUCACUGCAACCUCCACAUCCCGGGUUCAAGAGAUUCUCCUGCCUCAGCCUCCAGAGUGGUUGGGAUUACAGACAUGCGCUAUCAUGCCCGGUUGUUUUUCUUUUUUUUUUUUUUUUGAGACGGAGUCUCGCUCUGUUGCCCAGGCUGGAGUGCAGUGGUGUGAUACCGGCUCACCGCAACCUCUGCCUCCCGGGUUCAAGUGAUUCUCCUGCCUCAGCCUCCCAAUUAACUGGGACUACAGGUGCCCACCAUCACGCCCGGCUAAUUUUUGUAUUUUUAGUAGAGACGGGGCUUCGUCAUCUUAGCCAGGCUGGUCUCGAACUCCUGACCUCAUAAUCCACCAGCCUUGGCAUCCCCAAGAGCUGGGAUUACAGGCAUGAGCCACCGCACCUGGCCGUCUUACCAAAAUUUUCAGAGGAAAAAAAUGUGGGAUCUUUUUUCAAUUUGUUCUCACCCUCCAAGCAUGCUGGGUGCUGCGCUGAGCCCUGUGAGGGGCUGGCAGCAUCGCCCCCAAGAAACUGAGGCUUAGACAGGAAAGGCCACCUGCCUGGUCACCGGGUUCUCCUACCUGGAAGGAGGCAGUUUUAGCUGAGGAAGGAUAUCCAGAUGGGCCCUCCAUGGUUCCUUCCCACCAGAACUUCUCAGCCAUGGGCAAGGAGGCAGCCAGGGACCCAGCACCUUUCAUCCCUUGGUUUCCUGCUCCCCUUCUGGGUAGGGCACGAAGUGACGCACAGGUGUGGGCAUCUCUGCCAAGCCAGCUCUGCCCAGGAUUUAACUAGAGCUGUGAGGCUUGUUGACCCAGAAAACGUGAUUUGGGAGACGCCAAGGCCUCCCCUCCCCUGACAGGACUGGGGGCAGAAGUUCUGGCCUUUCCAGUGUGCAGGGAGAAAGGUUUUACCUGAUAGGUUCCUGCCCUCAUCCUAGGGUCAGCCCAGGGACUUAGCCUCCCUGGCGGGUUUCUGGAGUGGAGCAUGGGACUGGUCAGAACCUUACCGCGAGUUAAGUAACAACUGGGUGGAGGUUAAAGGUAAGCACGCAGACAGGCAGGUGGGUGGGAGGGGAGGGGGCUAUGCUUGGGAGGCUUCCAGACCUUGGGGCUGGCUUUAUCUGGCCUCUUCCAGGCCUCCUUAUCCCAGCCCACCCACCUUACAGUUAGGGCCCGUUUUGCCCUUGCCCUGCCAGGGUGAGAUCCUGGCCAGGGAGAGGCGUAUACAAAGUACAGCGUGGACACACGACACCCCUGACUUAAGAGUCCAAGUCCGCUGGAGGAAGAGGCUUUGUUUCACCAAAUCACUUGGGCAAAAAGAAGCCAGGUAGCCAGGAGUGGGUGGCAGGCACCUGUAAUCCCAACUAUUCGGGAGGCUGAGGCAGGAAAAUCACUUGACCCCAGGAGGAGGAGGUUGUAGUGAGCCGAGAUCACGCCACUGCAAUCCAGCCUGGGCGACAGAGCCAGACUCUGUCUUAAAAAAAAAUAAUAAAAUAAAAAUUAUACUGAGGUGGAGUUAAACUGUAACAUACUUGAUUCCCUCAGCCCUUUUUGGCUGUUUUACUAUAGUCCCUAUUUUGAUUGUUAUGCUAAUAUUUGUGGAAAGAGAUCUUGUAUUUGCUGAAUCAUAAUCACAUCAGUACUACUUUGGCUGGUUUAAGUACAAAUGAAUAAAACCACCAUUUUUCCUUUAAAAAAAAAAAAAGGGCAGGAUGUGACUCCAGGCUCUUAAAAAACAAACAAAAAGCCAGGACACAGAACUCAGUCCCCCGGCCUAAGCUCAUCCCCGCGAGCUGGCGAAGGCCUUUCCCAUCUACACAGCCUCCUCAGCCAUCUGUUCACUGCACUCACUCCACUGUAUCCCAGAGACUCAUGUGUGCCAGGCACUAUCUAGGUGCUGAGAAAAGCCGCACAAGGCCCUGCCCUCUGGCGAGCCUUUAUUCCAGGCGACAUACCUCCCUCCACAGGUGAAAACAGCACCCAUGUCACACCAGAGCUUGAGGCCAAAGCUAGAGAACCCUCACCUGACUGGCCAGUCCCUGUUCCUCCCUGGGGUAGACUCUGGGGAAGAGGGGUGAGGAUGAGCUUGGGUCAGCAGCUCCAAGGUUUAAGGUCUGUCUUGGUUGUUUUAAAAUGCAGCUUAAUUGGCUGGGCCUGGUGGCUCACACCUAUAAUCCCAGCACUUUGGGAGGCCAAGGCAGGAGGAUCCCUUGAGCUGAGGAGCUGGAGACCAGCCUAGGCAACAAAGCGAGACCCCCAUCUCUAAAAAAUAUAUGUAUUUUUAAAAAUGUUAGAAAAUGAAAAGAUGGCUUAAUUGCAUGAACAAAUGUAUUAGUUAACCAACUAUGAGGAAACACUGAGAAACAUAACCACACACUCUACAAAGCUCCCUGGCCCUUGGCACUUGGACCCACACCCACACCCCACAAAGCCUUGUCUCUUGAUUUCUGCUUCCAUGUCAUGCUGACCCCCUCAGCUCCCCACUACUUUUCCCCUUACCCCACUUUGUUGUUUUCCAUGGAACUCAAUCAAACCAGUUUAGACCUACUGGAAGGUGAGCUCCACUGGGGUGGGGGCGGGCCACCACUGUUUCCAGCUGUAUUAAGUCCCGAAUGGGAUGACCCUUGGAAGACACACCUAAUAAAUAUGCUCAAUGAACGAAUGAGACCAUCGAAAUUGCAGUGAGUGUUCAAUGAGAUAAAGACUAUCAUUGUGUAAUUGCUCUUAAAAAAUUCCUGUAAGUGGAAUUGCUGAGUCAAAGAAUAUGAACCUUUUAGAGAAGCUUUUUAUCCUUCAAAGAAAAUACAAUUAGGCCAGCCCUGUGAGUUUAUCCACACUCAAUUCCUAGUGACUGCUGUCAGGACAGCACACAACAGCUUUAAUUUCGAUUUUUUUUUUUUUUUUUGAUAAGUCUCGCUCUGUCGCCCAGGCUGGCAUGCAGUGGUGUCAUCUCAGCUUACUGCAAUCUCUUGCCUCCUGGGUUCAAGCGAUUCUCCCACCUCUGCCUCUCAAGUAGCUGGGAUUACAGGCAUGCGCCACCAUACCCGGCUAAUUUUUUUUAGUAGAGAUGGAGUUUCACCAUAUUGGCCAGGCUGGUCUCGAACUCCUGUCCUCAGGUGAUCCACCCACCUUGGCCUCCCAGUGUUGGGAUUACAGGCCUGAGCCACCACACCCAGCCUGGAUUUUUUUUUUUUUUUUUUUGAGACGGGAGUCUCGCUGUCACCAGGCUGGAGUGCAGUGGCACGAUCUCAGCUCACUGCAACCUCCGCCUCCCUAGUUCAAGUGAUUCUCCUGCCUCAGCCUCCUGAGCAGCUGGGACUACAGGCAUGUACCUGGGACUACAGGCGUGCACCACCAUGCCCAGCUAAUUUUUUUUUUUUUUUUUUUGAGACAGAGUCUUGCUGUUGUCACCCAGGCUGGAGUAGUGGCUCAAUCUUGGCUCACUGCAACCUCCGACUCCUGACCUCGUGAUCCGCCCGCCUUGGCCUCCCGAAGUGCUGGGAUUAUAGGUGUGAGCCGCUGCGCCUGGCCAAUUUGGAUUUAUUUGACUACUUAUACUGGGUUGAAGUGUGCCCCCCGAAUUCAUGUCCUCUCCAAACCUCAGAAUGUGACCUUAUUUGGAAAGAGGGUCUUUGCAGAUGUAAUCGGUUAAGAUGAGGUCAAACUGGGUUAGGGUGGCCCCUAAAUCCAGACUGGUGUCCAUACAAGACAGACACAUAGGCCGGGCGUGGUGGCUCAUGCCUGUAAUCCCAGCACUUUGGGAGGCCGAGGCAGGUGGAUCACCUGAGGUCAGGAGCUCGAGACCAGCCUGGCCAACAUGGUGAAACCCCGUCUCUACUAAAAAUACAAAAAUUAGCCAGGCGUGGUGGCAGGCGCCUGUAAUCUCACCUACUAGGGAGGCUGAGGCAGGUGAAUCACUUGAACCCAGGAAGCGGAGGUUGCAGUGAGCCAAGAUCAUGCCAUUGCACUCCAGCUUGGUCAACAAGAGUGAAACUCCAUCUCAAAAAAAAAAGAGACAGAGUGAAGAAUGCCAUGUGAACACAGGCAGAGACCGGAGUGACGACUCUACAAGCCUAAGGGAUGCAAGGACUGCCAGCAGCCACCAGGAGUCACGGGAAGGAUUCUCUCUCCCUCAGAUCCUCCAGAAGGAACCAACCCUGCCACCAAUGACUUUGGGAACCAACAGAAUAAAUCUGUUAAUUUAAGCUAGCAUGCUUGUAGCAAUUAGUUAUAGAAGUCUCAGGAAAACAAAUACACCAAUCAAGAAUUUUUUCCUUGGCUGGACACAGUGGCUCACACCUGUAAUCCCAGCACUUUGGGAGGCUGAGGUGGGUGGAUCACCCGAGGUCAGGAGUUCGAGACUAGCCUGGCCAAGACUGCGAAACCCCAUCUUUACUAAACAUACAAUUAGCUGGGUGUGGUGGUGGGUGGUAAUCCCAGCUACUCAGGAGGCUGAGACAGGAGAAUCACUUGAACCCGGGAGGCAGAAGUCGCAGUGAGCCGAGAUCUCACCACUGCACUUCAGCCUGGGCAACAGAGUGAGACUCCGUCU
rnacentral:lncRNA from 1 species